rnacentral:rRNA from 1 species
UACGUAGGGGGCUAGCGUUGUCCGGAUUUAUUGGGCGUAAAGAGCGUGUAGGCGGCUUGGUAGGUCUCGCGUCAAAACCUGAGGCUCAACCUCAGUUCGCGUGGGAAACCACCUAGCUAGAGUCCGGAAGAGGAGAACGGAAUUCCCAGUGUAGCGGUGAAAUGCGCAGAUAUUGGGAAGAACACCAGUGGCGAAGGCGGUUCUCUGGGACGGUACUGACGCUGAGACGCGAAAGCGUGGGGAGCGAACAGGA